rnacentral:rRNA from 1 species
CCUACGGGUGGCAGCAGUGGGGAAUAUUGCGCAAUGGGCGAAAGCCUGACGCAGCGACGCCGCGUGAGGGAUGAAGGUCUUCGGAUCGUAAACCUCUGUCAGCAGGGAAGAACGGUCACUGUGCUAAUCAGCAGUGAAUUGACGGUACCUGCAAAGGAAGCACCGGCUAACUCCGUGCCAGCAGCCGCGGUAAUACGGAGGGUGCGAGCGUUAAUCGGAAUUACUGGGCGUAAAGCGCUCGUAGGCGGUAUGUCAAGUCAAGGGUGAAAUCCCCGGGCUCAACGUGGGAACUGCCUUUGAAACUGGCAAACUGGAGUGUGUGAGAGGAUAGUGGAAUUCCAGGUGUAGGGGUGAAAUGCGUAGAUAUCUGGAGGAACAUCAGUGGCGAAGGCGACUAUCUGGCACAUGACUGACGCUGAGGAGCGAAAGCGUGGGUAGCAAACAGGAUUAGAUACCCGGGUAGUC